rnacentral:rRNA from 1 species
GAUCAUGGCUCAGGAUGAACGCUAGCUACAGGCUUAACACAUGCAAGUCGAGGGGAAACGAUAUUGGAAGCUUGCUUCCGAUAGGCGUCGACCGGCGCACGGGUGAGUAACGCGUAUCCAACCUGCCCAUCACUUGGGAAUAACCUUGCGAAAGUAAGACUAAUGCCCAAUGACAUUUAUAGAAGGCAUCUGAAAUGAAUUAAAGAUUUAUCGGUGAUGGAUGGGGAUGCGUCCG